GAACUAUAUAAAAGGGGUUGAAGGAGUCUCAGAGGACCAAAUGAAACACCAGCAUCCAUUCUGCUACAGAACAGACAAACUGUGUGAAGAUGUGGAGAUUAACGUGCGUCACUUUGACCCUUCUCAUGUGUGCCAAAGGUUCACUUUCUCAGCUGAAUGUUUGUGGACAGGCUCCUCUAAACACUCGUAUUGUGGGUGGCGUGGAUGCCUCUGAGGGCUCAUGGCCGUGG